GGUAGUUAUGCUCCUUGGUAUGACAAGAUUCAGGUAUGCGUUUGCAAUUCCACAAUAAAAAUGUUGCAUAUAAGUUGACAUCAAUUGCCAAAUCAUGUCUGCUGCUCAAUUCGGUUUACAUUCAGGUUGGUGGGUGUUCUCAAUCAGUUGGCCAAGCAAGGAAAGGAAAAAAAUGUGACAUGUUUAACAUUUGCUACAGUUAGAGUUGCAGCAUAUGAGGUCCAAUACACUUUACCUUUCCAAGCUCUCACCCUAUUCCUGGCAUUUCUCAAGGGAUCCUUUGCCUAGAAGUCCAGAGUUGAAGUAACCUUGAGUCAAUCACAAAAUCAAUCAAAAAAUAUAGAGUAUGAGGUUAAUAACUUGGUUUAGCUUUUAUGUUUUAAUUAUGAUUUUCUUUUGCGGUUUAAGUAGUGUAGGAGAAUUCCAUGAAAAAAAUUUCAAAAAAAAAAAAAACCCUGAGUGGAAAUAAGCUCUAUUUGAAUAUCAUAAGGCACCAUUGUUUCUAGAAUUGUGCAUGCUCAAGCUCAAAAUGCAUUUAUUUCAAGUAUUUUCUUAUAUUACCAUUUCAAAUGUAUUUCUUAGGUACCCUUUAGAGUCAUAGCUCCUUUUACCUCUGUUUGACUGUAACUAAACUGACUUAGAGGCUGGGCUUUAUUUCUAUGAACCUUUUAACAUAAACACUACAAAUUCUCGUAUCAAAUCACCAAAUACUUGGAAAAAGUUUUUCCUUGAUGAUGCAUAUAGGCACAGACAAAUAUAACAGACAGGAUUAAGUAAAUUAGUCCAAAUAGCAUCUCGAAGAGUUUCUUGAUUUGCAUCUCUCCAGGCGUUCUCAUUGUCCAUGACAGAAAUUGAACUCUCAUUAGCCUUGGUGCAAAUGUAAAUUUUUCCAUGAUCCUUUUAGGGGAAAAAGGUCUCGAAAGGUCCUUCCCAAUUGGUGGACUCCCAACAUGUGGAACAAUUUAAGAACAGCCCUUGCAUAGAUAGUUCUAAGAAUGCAUCAAAUUAUGGACCUGCAGAUGACAGAGCCUUGCAGUGAAACUUCUAAAAUUAUUUUAAGGAUUUGAUCCUUUCAAGCUUAUUGUGGAGCCAUGAAAACCAUCUUUGCUUAGCUGGAUCUUUAUCAACUGGCGGGAUCUGGAGCCUUAAAACAUUGUCAUUUCAAGGAUCUGUGGACAUCAUUUGCCAGCAUCUAUACUCCAAAACAGCAUAGGUGCUUGUAUUUGAAGUCAAUCUUUUGUCUAAAUAUUCCUCGGUCUGUCUAUCCUCUGGUGCACUCCCUGGAGACAACUUUGUUUAUGUGUGUCGUCUAAUCUAGACCUCGCUUGAUAUGUCAAACCUAAUAAGUCUUGGUGGACUGAAAUUGCCACUUUUAUUCUUCCUUUACCCCAAUUUGAAGCUGAGACUCAUUACUAAAUCAGUGCAUCACCUGUCGUUUAUUACUUUAA